rnacentral:tRNA from 1 species
GUGGGCGUUGUCUAGCGGUCUAAGACACUUGACUGUGACUCAAGUUUUCGCGGGUUCAAAUCCCGUCGCUCACCCCA